GGAUGCUGAUCCCGGUGGGAGGGGUGGCAGGAUGGGCUGGGGCUCCCUCUUGCUCUGACAGUGCCGAUGGGACCCUGGAUCCAUGGGAAACUGUAUACAAGGGUUCCCGUGGCAGUGAGAUCCUCCUUGACCUUGGGCAAUUUUGCUACAGGAGCCGUCCUGGUAAAGCUAUCCAGCGGGAGCGACUCCUUUCCCUGCGGAGCAAGGCCAGGCCGUCUCCCCAUCCCAGCAGUCCUGCACCGCGCAUGCUGCCGGCAGCUGCCCUGCUACUUAAUUAGCAUGAAUUAGCAGCCCCUGCACCACCUCCCUGGUUUCGAUACGAGGAUCACUACGAGUGAUGCUGGGGACAGCUGGUGUGGCCGCGGCCAUCGCAUUGUCCCUGCUGGGGGCUGGCUGGAGCGGCGAUGCUGCAGCCGUGCCGGCGAGGCUCUCCUAAAAUAAAUGCAUCCCGCAUCCCA